AUUGAACGCUGGCGGCAGGCCUAACACAUGCAAGUCGAGCGGUUGACGGGAGCUUGCUCCCUGAUUCAGCGGCGGACGGGUGAGUAAUGCCUAGGAAUCUGCCUAUUAGUGGGGGACAACGUUUCGAAAGGAACGCUAAUACCGCAUACGUCCUACGGGAGAAAGCAGGGGACCUUCGGGCCUUGCGCUAAUAGAUGAGCCUAGGUCGGAUUAGCUUGUUGGUGAGGUAAUGGCUCACCAAGGCGACGAUCCGUAACUGGUCUGAGAGGAUGAUCAGUCACACUGGAACAGAGACACGGUCCAGACUCCUACGGGAGGCAGCAGUGGGGAAUAUUGGACAAUGGGCGAAAGCCUGAUCCAGCCAUGCCGCGUGUGUGAAGAAGGUCUUCGGAUUGUAAAGCACUUUAAGUUGGGAGGAAGGGCAGUAAGCUAAUACCUUGCUGUUUUGACGUUACCGACAGAAUAAGCACCGGCUAACUCUGUGCCAGCAGCCGCCGUAA
rnacentral:rRNA from 1 species